rnacentral:rRNA from 1 species
CCCUUAGAUGUUCUGGGCCGCACGCGCGCUACACUGACGAAUGCAACGAGCUUAUAACCUUGUCCGAAAGGUCUGGGUAAUCUCCAAAUUUCGUCGUGAUGGGGAUAGAUUAUUGCAAUUAUUAAUCUUCAACGAGGAAUGCCUAGUAAGCGCAAGUCAUCAGCUUGCGUUGAUUACGUCCCUGCCCUUUGUACACACCGCCCGUCGCUCCUACCGAUUGAAUGGUCCGGUGAAGCGUUCGGACCGUGGCCUUUGGACGGUUCGCCGUCUGUUGGCUGCGGGAAGUUCGUUAAACCUUAUCAUUUAGAGGAAGGAGGAGUCGUAACA